rnacentral:rRNA from 1 species
UACAGAGGUCCCAAGCGUUGUUCGGAUUCACUGGGCGUAAAGGGUGCGUAGGCGGUUGGGUAAGUCUGAUGUGAAAUCUCACAGCUUAACUGUGAAACUGCAUUGGAUACUAUCCGGCUAGAGGAAUGGAGGGGAGACUGGAAUGCUUGGUGUAGCAGUGAAAUGCGUAGAUAUCAAGUGGAACACCAGUGGCGAAGGCGAGUCUCUGGACAUUUCCUGACGCUGAGGCACGAAAGCCAGGGGAGCAAACGGG